rnacentral:lncRNA from 1 species
AGCGAUGAGGUUGCUUUGAGAAUUGUUGAAGGAAAGAAGAGUAGGAAGUUGAAGAAAAGCCGCGUGGCUGAGCAGGAGAAAAUGCAUGAUACUGAGGAUGUACAGGAAGAUAUUGUUGCUGAAGUCGACGAAGGUGAUAUUUCUUCGCCUAUCAAGAUUGAAGAAAAAAACAGAACAGACAAUGGGAAUAUUAAAAAGAGGAAAAAGGUAAAAUCAGGACACAGCUCUGAAGAUCCUACGCAUGAAAUUGAAGAAGAAAACAGAACAGACAAUGGCAAUAUCAAAAAGAAGAAAAAGGUAAAAUCAGGACACAGCUCUGAAGAUCCUACACAUGAGAUUGAAGAAGAAAACAGAAAAGACAAUGGCAAUAUCAAAAAGAAGAAAAAGGUAAAAUAAGGACACAGCUCCGAAGAUCCUACGCAUGAGAAGAGUGCAAAGAAAGUGAGAUUUUCUGGUCAUGUUCAGAUUUUCCCUUCUUCUGAUGAUCCAAGUGAUGAGAAGCACGAGAUAGAGGAUGAAAAUUUACUGCGUGGCAAGCGAUUCUCAAAGCUAGAAGAUGAAAUUGUCAAAGAGGCUGUUCAUAAAUACGUAGAUUUUCAUAACUUGGGCGAAGAAGGGCUGAAAAAGAUUUUAAAUUCUAGAUCUUAUCCUGAAAUAAAGGGUUGCUGGAAAGAAAUAGGGAGUGCUAUACCAUACAGGCCUUAUACUGCAGUUUAUUAUCGUGCACAGAUCUUGUUUCGAAGGAGUGAAUCACGUAAAUGGACUGAAGAAGAGUAUGAGAUUGUACGAAAAUUCCAGAAAGAGCAUGGGAACAAUUGGAAGGUCUUAGCUGAUGAACUUGGAAAACAUCGGUUUCAUGUGAAGGAUACAUGGCGAAGGAUAAAACGGCCAAAUCAGAAUAAAGGACAAUGGACUCAGGAGGAGUACCAGUCUUUGUUUGAUUUAGUAAACACCGAUCUGAGACUGAGGCUUUCUGAAGAGAAGAGAUCUAAGUAUGGGAUGUUACGGGAUAAUAUUGCAUGGACUGCCAUAAGUGACAAAUUGUCCACGAGAACUGAGGCAAAUUGCUGCUUGAAAUGGUAUGAUCAAUUAACAUCACCCAUGGUGGCCAAAGGUGAAUGGGCGGAUGUUGAUGACUAUCGCCUAGUUGAUGCACUUUUUGAGCUGGACGCAAGCUGCAUAGAAGAUGUGGACUGGGAUAAUCUUCUUGACCACAGGCCUGGAGAGAUAUGUCGAAAGAGAUGGAACCAAAUGGUUCUUCACAUAGGUAAACUUAAAAACAGCUCAUUUGCUGAACAAAUAGAAGUUCUAGCUAAGAGAUACCGCCCGGAUUUCGCCGAAGUAAGAGAGGCUUGGGACAAUAAACCAGUCGUUCCAUGAUAUUGCCGAUCACUCAGCAGGGAUGUGUCUGUAGAGAGUUAGUUUACAGCAACACAUACUAUUGGCAACAACCCCCUUCCCCUCUCCAUUUUAGUAAAUAUUAGUAAAGAAUUUUAUUGAUUUGGAAGAGGUCCAGUAUUGUGUGGUGGAGAGAUCUUCACAGUUUGAUAUUGGACAGUUGUCUGUAGGGCAGGAGAUCAAUCAACUUCAACUGUCAUGAAUCUUAUGUUUCUCUUCCUUUAUCCAAAAUCUUUAUUAUCUGUAAUGCAUCUUUAUUUUCCCCCCAAUUUCAUGGCAUAUGCAUGUGUUUGGUGCUUCAGGUAUUCUUGAAUAUCAUGGUGUUAUUAAAACUUGUGUUGCAAAAUCGCUGGGGACACUUUACACCAGAAGCUAUACUGGUUGUGUUACUGUUGUUAUGUAUGCUGUGAUACUCGUAUAAAUUUGGCAGAUAUUGUAGCUUGUCAUCUUUUUGAUAAUAAUCUAGUAGUUACAGAAUUAUGCUUUCAACACAGAUGAGAGCCAUGGCAACUAGUUCCUGCUGUUUGUUGGCUGUUCCAAACCGGUUUGUCUGUUACUCUGUACCCUUUAAUUAGAAAAUGUUUGGCUAUUUGGCUAAUCCGCCUUGGCAAAAUAAAUCAACUAACCCAUUAAUUCCCAGACUGACCCGUUACAUUUCAGUUUGGCUACGCCCACAGCAUACUGAUUUCUGAACAAUUUGUUUCUACAUCCAGAUUUUGAUAAAAUCAUUAGGAUGUACCUGCAUCGGUAGCAUCUGAAGAUCAAAAGGUUCUUGCUUUUCGCGAUUUGAAUCCUCAAGCUCCUGUUGAUGUCCUAGUUAUCCCAAAAUCAAGGGAUGGAUUUUAAUUGCUGUGGUAUGUAUUCUAGCACAUAUUCCAUGUCUAGUUUCAAGGAAUGCACCUCUUGACUUUUGGUAUAGCACAAAUCACAAAUUGUGCUUUUGAUCUAAUAACAGAAGUGGAUAUUGGAAAAAAGGGGGAAAGAGAGCUGUAUUAACAGUGGCGGAUGCAGCUAUUUAGUUGGAUUGUGAGUUUAACGUGAAAUAUAAAUUUAUGGUAGUUAAAUUGGAAGCUUGAUUUUACUUUGUAGUACUUGCUCUGCAUCUCUCAAUGAUCAUUGAUCAGCAUGGUUAGAAGUUUCAGUGUUAGCAGGAUAUAAAGGUUAAUAGAGGUGAUUCACAACAAGAAACAUAAUAUAUACAGUAGUUGAUUUUAGCUCUCUGCGACAAUGUCACAUUGUGAAUGAUAUCUCAGCAUAAAAUGUGGUCUUAAAAAUUAUUUGAAGAUCCCUUCUUCCAUUGCACAAAAACCCAUCAAAAUGCAACGACAAUUGGUUCUUGGUCGCUCAUAUGGUUACAUAUUAUCAGUCAUUUUACUAGCUAGUUUAUGUCCUGUGUGUCUUCUUCUGCAUUAUUUUGUGGGUGUCUCCACAACCAAGAGAAUACCAAUUAAUCACUUUGAACAAUCCAUAAAGUUAAUAUGCAUGCUUAUAGCUCAGUUAUUAGGUAAAAUCUCAUUAAUUAACAAAAUGUCCAAGGAAAUGAAUUCAUCAAGACAUUGUGUUUCCUAAAUGCUAAAUAAACCUGCUUCUUAUACUCUUUUAUACCCAUUUUACUUGUUACAUUCCCAUAUUUUGAAUGGAUAAUAUCAAUUGACUCAUAUUUGGCUAAUAUCACAAAUAUACUACUGUAUCAUUUUGGCCAGCCCUUCAUGUGUCAUAAUUAGAAAUGCAUGACUCAUUCCAGUACGUCUCAGGAACAGAAGCAUACCAUACACUGGAAAAACAGUAGAAACAUGAGGAACCGAAGAGGAAUACUAGCGGAUUUGGACCAAGGAAAAUUAUCUUUAAAAAGGAACAUCAGGUGUGCAUGCAGCUAUUUUGUUGCCUUGUGUGGGGUUCAUAUGUAUUUGAUACGUUGACGUAAAAUAUACUAUUCAAUAAAAUAUAGAAUUUAAAUUCUGAAUGCGUCUGCUGGACAAGAAGAUCGAAGGCCACACCACAUUAGCAGAUAUACACGUAUAGUUACGUAUUUCAUGUGUAUCUGAUUAUGCAAAUUAUGCAAAAGACAAAUGAAAAAUUCCAGGCGUAACCAUAUUGAAGACUACAAUAUAGUUCACAUGAGACAUCAUGAGCAUUGCCUUACUGUCUCUUAAACAAAACAAAACAAUGCCGACACUAUAUAUAUCGUACGUGCUUCAAUUUGAAGCUGCCCCAUCAUCUUAUUUUACUAAAAUUUCUCUAGCUCCAAAUUUAACUUUUAUUACUAUUUUGGACCAACUUAUAAUAUGUCCAAUAGCAUGAAGAAGAAAUCUUUGCAACUUCCAAGGUAUCAACCACACAUCCACUAAAAUAAGAACAAAAUUAAUAAUGGUGUUUUCGUCUGUGACAAGUUAAAAAAAACGAAUAUUGAUUUGUUGACAAUUUAAUUUGGCGUAAUUAAUACUUCUACCGUUUAAAAAAAAAUAACCUACUUUAACUUGACACACAAUUGAAGAAAAUAAAGAAGACUUUUAAAUCUUGUGGCCAUAAAUUAAAGUUGUGUCUAAUGUAUCAAAAUAUCCUUUAAUCUUGUGGUACUAAACAAGUCAUGUGGAAAGUUAAAAUUAAAAUAUUACCAAAAAAGAAAAGGGAUCAUUUUUUUUCCGGAAAAGGUUCAAAAAUACCCAUGAACUAUCUGAAAUGGAUCAAAUACCCCUCGUUAGUUUUUUGGCUCAAAAAUAUCCCUCCGUUAAAUAUUUGACUCAAAAAUACUCCUCCCCUUAACAAAAUUCCACCAAGCAUGCCACCUAGAUUAAAAAAAAGCCACGUGAUCAUGCCAUGUCACCAUCCACGUGUCAAAAGUGUGAAUAACCACCUUUUCAAAUAUAGCCACAUUUACAAAUAUAACCACAUUACAUCAUCCCAUACUCGUCACCUCUUUCAUUCCAUCGCCACCGGUGAUUCUCUGAUGAGGACAAUUCAGUCAAUUCACCCUUUAAAUUCAAUCUAUUUCAAUCUAUCGUUAACAAAUCCAAUGAAUUCCUUGCAACAAUAACAUCCGAUUUUCCUUCUUCUUCUUUAGGACCUAAAAAGAGAAAUAACAGAUUAAGUUAAUUUACAUUACAAUAGUUGUUUGGCACUACAAAUUGAAGCAUAAAGAAGAAGUGAACUUAAUUGGCAGCUGGGCACACCUUAAUUAAUAAUUACCACACAUAGAUUACAGAAGGAUCACAACAACACAGAGCUGCUAGACUGCAACAAAUCACAACACAAAAGGGAAAAUGAAUAAAAACGAGAAAUGCAGAAAAAAAAUGAAAAAUUACAUACUAACUAGUAACAGUUACUAUAGGUAAUUAUUUUUAUGUAAAUCAAAUUAGUCGCCACGACAAUUUUUAGGGGAAGUUACUCAUUUGAUCAUUCGGCCAAAAAUACCCCUCGUUAGUUUUUUGGCUCAAAAAUAUCCCUUCGUUAAAUAUUCCUAAAAAAGAAAGCAGAUAAUUCUUUUUGAAAUGGAGGGAGUAGUAGCAAUGGUGGAGCCACAGCCGGCGAAGGGUGGUCAGAUGAACACCCUCGUCGGAAAAUUUUUUCGAGUAUAUAGGUUAAAUAUAGAUAUUUAUGGUUAUAUACAUGUUGUUGCACACCCUUGACAAGCUAGAGAAGCAUAGUCCAGUGGUCAAGAGUGUGCAUUUCCACAUUAACAACCUGGAUUUGAACCUUGACAAGGAAAAAUAUGAACACCCUUAAUCAAAAGUUUGACUCUGCCACUCUAGUAAAUAGAGCAAGAAAGUGGCAUCCAUUUACAUACCUAAAAAAACUACAAUACGUGACACAGAUUUCGAUCCUAGCUAGGUUAUAUGAUUUGGCAAAUACGUGGGUAGUGCAUUUGACUGUUUCAUAAUUCAUUAAAUAUAUUAUCUUAGUAAAAAGGGGACUUCGUUUUCAACUAGACCAUUUUGGUAAGAGGUAAUGUUACAUACACAUGUAGUAAAAUAUUUGUGAAUUUGUCUGAGAAUAGAUAGUAAGGGCGUAGAUGCUGACAUACAAACUACUUGUAACAAUUUUCUUGAUAUCUUGAAAGUCAAGAUUUUGAUGAGUUGGGUUGGGGUAUAGGGAGAUGGGGAGUGGGGUUGCAUGAUGGUGGGGAGGGGAGGCCAAAGUAAAGAGUCACAAGUCAAAUGAUUGAUGAGAAAAUACAUUGCAUUGUGGCACCACCACUGCUAACUAUAGUGUCACUUGUCAUUAUGGUUUUGAUAUGGACUUUCCCAUCCUAUUUUACGUGGCAUAUUUUAAUCGGACAUAUAAUUUAAGAAAUAAAAAAAUAUAUAUAUGUUGGUAUUUAUUAAAUUAUUCUUUGUUAUUAUCUUUAAUUAAGUGAGACUAAUAAGAAUAAAAGUAGAAUUAUAUCUUUAAAUAAUUAUCAAAUAAGAAAACAUGAUAUUUUUUAAAACGAAUAAAAAAAAAUGAUGACACAUAAAUUGAGAUUGAGACGGAGAGUGUAUAUGAAAAAUCUGGCUAAACGGAUUUACUUGUCCACCUCAAGCAGUCACAACUUUUCCUCCAUGAGCCCACCAACAUGACUUAUGUAACAAAUCAAAAUUUAAUUUAACAGGUAAAUUAAAUUUAAAUAAUUGUUGUCACAUAUGCAUACAUACGGUAUGUAAAUAAUAUGUUUAACGUAAAAAUAUUAUGUUCGGUUAAAGAUAAUUUCCAUCUACCGACUGCCAACGUAGCAUUAAUUAUAAUAACUAGUAGUGUAUGUGUAUAUAAAUAGGUAGCUAGGUACUCAUUUCAUCAGAUAUUAAAAACACCAAAGUUUUAGCAAAGCUUAAAUUUGCCCCUUCAACUAAAAGGGGCUCUCUUUCUAGCUCUUUNNNNNNNNNNNNUCUUUCCCUCUACACAUUAAAAUAUUGUUGUAGUUCUCCCAUAUAGCCAUAGCUAAACCUAAAUUAUUCUACUUUAACACAAUAUGAUGCCAUCAACUAUGACAGCAGUACAACUAUGUUGCUGCUUGUGUUUGGUUAUGGUUACAACAACGUUUGGGAGGCUACAUCCUCGAAAUCUCACUGACAACAGGUUGAUUCGUAGAAACCUCUUAGGCAAUGGCCUUGGUGGAACUCCUCAAAUGGGGUAAGAUAGAUAAUUCUUUUUUAUUUCAAGUUAUAUACUGUCGGUGCAUAAAAUUAAUUGUUAUUCUUCUUCUUGUUGUGUAACAUAUUGUUGAUAAUCGAAGAGUAUAGGUAUAUAUUGUAUGGUGUUGUCUUGAAAGAGACACCAUAUAUCAUAUAUGAAGGAAUGGUGUAGGUGGGGUUUUUAAAGAAAGCUCGUGAACUUGUCAAGUUGUCUACUUGCUUCUUGCAAAAAAAAAAUAAUAAUAAUAAAAAAAAUGAUUGAGUAAUUAAUUAAGUUCUAUAAAUUCAAAAACUUUUUACGUACAGGAAUACAAAAACAUUCAGACGAGCCAGUGUUUUAUUAUAUAAUUCUUUGAAUUUUCAUCGAUAUCAGGGAGAUAGUGGCCUAAGGCCUACUUUUUUAAGAAAAGAAAAAAAAAAUUUAAACAACAUGUAUUUCUAAGAAUUAUAUACUCGCUUUAUUCUAAUAGUUUUCUUUUAUUUACUAAUAUAAUUAGUGCAUUUAGUUUUUCUUGAGAUAUCAUAUUCCAGAUAUAUUAAACUUCUAAUAAUUCUUGUAUUUCAUAUAACAAUUUUUUUUCUACAGAUAAUAUCUGUUAUUGCUUAAAAAAAAUGAGGCUCGUAAAUUAGAGGUCAAAGAUAGUCACCUUUUUCAUAAGGGUAGAGUUGUCCCUAAUGGAUAUGAACCCCACUACCCACCUAUUAUUUAAGGGGUGGUGGGAUGUUUGGUUUGUGUACAAGUUAUGUAUACUAUAUGUUAGUUAAAAUUGGGAUUAGUUAGAUUGAAUUUAGUUAUUUAUUUUAUUAAAAUUAACCUGCAUUUUAUAAUUUCUUAAAAGAAGUUAUUUGUUCACAAGGUUAUCAUCUGAUUUAUUUAGUAGCAAAGGGAUUUCACGGGUAUUUUUGUUAUUUUUACUAUUUUAUUUCAAUAUAACUAAAUUCGUACUAGUACUUCACCAUCUAACAGGAUUAACUUAAUCUAAUACUUAUAUUUAAACAAAUAUAACUUAUCACAAAAUUAGUAACUAAACAAACAAUGCGGCGAUAUUAAAUUUCUAUCCUAUUUAUUAAGUUACUUGAUAAAUAAAUUUAAUGUAAUUAGACAUUUUAGUAAUCAUUUCUGUAUUGUAAUUACGACGAUGCGUUUGUUUAUCAAUUUACUUAAUUCCAUUUAAUUAGAUAGGUUACCGCUAAUCAUUCUUAAAGUCAGAGGGUCCGUUUGGAUAUGAAUAUUCCCUUUCCAAAAAAUAUUUUCAAAAUAAUACUAUUUGGUUAUACAUUAAAAUUAUUUUUUCCGUUAGUUUUAUAAAUUUGAAAAACUAGUGUUUAACCAUUUUUCCAAUUAAAAAUGCAGGUGAAGACAUAAUUUCAACUUUAGAUAGGAAUAACAUUUUUCUUUUUUUUUUUUUUUUUCAAUAUGACUAAAUUUAUGUCCAAACACCUACUAAAUUAAUGUCCUAUUGUUAUUUAUGGAAAAACAGAUGGAGCAGCUGGAAUCAUUUUGCUUGCAAUAUUCAUGAGAGUAUGAUAAGGGAAACAGGUCAGCAAAAUUAUUUUCUACUUAGAAAUGGCAAAGACAAGUGUCAACAAAUGAACAAACAAAUACUUAGUCCUACACAACAGUUGUCACUUUGUUGUUGUUUCUUGCAAAAAAAAAAUAAUAAUAAUAAAAAAAAUGAUUGAGUAAUUAAUUAAGUUCUAUAAAUUCAAAAACUUUUUACGUACAGGAAUACAAAAACAUUCAGACGAGCCAGUGUUUUAUUAUAUAAUUCUUUGAAUUUUCAUCGAUAUCAGGGAGAUAGUGGCCUAAGGCCUACUUUUUUAAGAAAAGAAAAAAAAAAUUUAAACAACAUGUAUUUCUAAGAAUUAUAUACUCGCUUUAUUCUAAUAGUUUUCUUUUAUUUACUAAUAUAAUUAGUGCAUUUAGUUUUUCUUGAGAUAUCAUAUUCCAGAUAUAUUAAACUUCUAAUAAUUCUUGUAUUUCAUAUAACAAUUUUUUUUCUACAGAUAAUAUCUGUUAUUGCUUAAAAAAAAUGAGGCUCGUAAAUUAGAGGUCAAAGAUAGUCACCUUUUUCAUAAGGGUAGAGUUGUCCCUAAUGGAUAUGAACCCCACUACCCACCUAUUAUUUAAGGGGUGGUGGGAUGUUUGGUUUGUGUACAAGUUAUGUAUACUAUAUGUUAGUUAAAAUUGGGAUUAGUUAGAUUGAAUUUAGUUAUUUAUUUUAUUAAAAUUAACCUGCAUUUUAUAAUUUCUUAAAAGAAGUUAUUUGUUCACAAGGUUAUCAUCUGAUUUAUUUAGUAGCAAAGGGAUUUCACGGGUAUUUUUGUUAUUUUUACUAUUUUAUUUCAAUAUAACUAAAUUCGUACUAGUACUUCACCAUCUAACAGGAUUAACUUAAUCUAAUACUUAUAUUUAAACAAAUAUAACUUAUCACAAAAUUAGUAACUAAACAAACAAUGCGGCGAUAUUAAAUUUCUAUCCUAUUUAUUAAGUUACUUGAUAAAUAAAUUUAAUGUAAUUAGACAUUUUAGUAAUCAUUUCUGUAUUGUAAUUACGACGAUGCGUUUGUUUAUCAAUUUACUUAAUUCCAUUUAAUUAGAUAGGUUACCGCUAAUCAUUCUUAAAGUCAGAGGGUCCGUUUGGAUAUGAAUAUUCCCUUUCCAAAAAAUAUUUUCAAAAUAAUACUAUUUGGUUAUACAUUAAAAUUAUUUUUUCCGUUAGUUUUAUAAAUUUGAAAAACUAGUGUUUAACCAUUUUUCCAAUUAAAAAUGCAGGUGAAGACAUAAUUUCAACUUUAGAUAGGAAUAACAUUUUUCUUUUUUUUUUUUUUUUUCAAUAUGACUAAAUUUAUGUCCAAACACCUACUAAAUUAAUGUCCUAUUGUUAUUUAUGGAAAAACAGAUGGAGCAGCUGGAAUCAUUUUGCUUGCAAUAUUCAUGAGAGUAUGAUAAGGGAAACAGGUCAGCAAAAUUAUUUUCUACUUAGAAAUGGCAAAGACAAGUGUCAACAAAUGAACAAACAAAUACUUAGUCCUACACAACAGUUGUCACUUUGUUGUUGUUUUAUUUUUUUCUUCUUUAAUUUUUGAUGUGGCAGCUGAUGCAAUGGUCUCUACUGGGCUUUCUUCACUUGGAUAUGAAUACAUCAAUAUAGGUAACUUCAUUUGUUCUUAAUUUACCAUGUUUAAUGAAUUAGAAUGGGUUUCUUUUCUUUAAGAUUAAUUAAUAAUGCGUUUGAAUUUAAAUACACACUUUAAAAAUGUAAAAAUGUGAGAUUAAAAUUUGAAUACUUGUAUAUUUAUUGUAUAAAAUUUAUCUUUAUUAUAAAUUUAAAUAAAAGCUAAUAAACUACUAGAUUAAUUUAAUAUUAUAUAUCAAUAAAAUAUUUUGAAAAAAUUAUGUGAUGGUUGGUUGGGGUAAUGACUAGCGAUAUUGUAAAUGUAGAAAUUGGAGAUGAUACUGACUUAUGACUUAUGAGGAGGUGUGAUCGAAUUGUAACUGGUGGUGAUGGUGAUUGUCAUAGAGGCUAUUGGUGAUUGACAUAAAGGUUGAUGGUGGUAGCGGUCGAUAAUUAUGGUGAAUGGUAGUGAUAGCUAAUGAUGGUAAUGAAUAAUGACAGUGGCUUGAUAUCUAAUGCCAAGACCAAUAAUGGUAGUUGCUGGUGAUGAUUAUAAGUUGUGGCUAGUGAUAGUGACAACUGAUUAUGAAUACAAUUGAUAAGUGACUAUUUUUGUAGAAAUGUUCAAAUAGUCAUUUUAAUGAUAUUAAGAUUUGUUAUAAAUCUUAGUCAUUCAAAUCUAUUCACGUUCAUUUAGUGCUUGAAACCUAAAGAAAAACAAAAUUUAAAUUUAAAUAAUUAAGAUUAACAUUAAGGUUAGUAAAAAUUUGCUUGCCAGUUUUAUUGCUAAUCAGUUAUUUGUCGUAUUUUAUUUCUUCAGAUGACUGCUGGGCGGAACAAAAUAGAGACUCACAGGUACUCUAAAUUGGUUCCCCUGUUUUUUUGUUGCCAAUUUCUUUUGUCUUAUUAAUUUAACGAAUAUAUAUAUAUAUAUAUAUAUAUANNNNNNNNNNNNNNNNNNNNNNNNNNNNNNNNNNNNNNNNNNNNNNNNNNNNNNNNNNNNNNNNNNNNNNNNNNNNNNNNNNNNNNNNNNNNNNNNNNNNNNNNNNNNNNNNNNNNNNNNNNNNNNNNNNNNNNNNNNNNNNNNNNNNNNNNNNNNNNNNNNNNNNNNNNNNNNNNNNNNNNNNNNNNNNNNNNNNNNNNNNNNNNNNNNNNNNNNNNNNNNNNNNNNNNNNNNNNNNNNNNNNNNNNNNNNNNNNNNNNNNNNNNNNNNNNNNNNNNNNNNNNNNNNNNNNNNNNNNNNNNNNNNNNNNNNNNNNNNNNNNNNNNNNNNNNNNNNNNNNNNNNNNNNNNNNNNNNNNNNNNNNNNNNNNNNNNNNNNNNNNNNNNNNNNNNNNNNNNNNNNNNNNNNNNNNNNNNNNNNNNNNNNNNNNNNNNNNNNNNNNNNNNNNNNNNNNNNNNNNNNNNNNNNNNNNNNNNNNNNNNNNNNNNNNNNNNNNNNNNNNNNNNNNNNNNNNNNNNNNNNNNNNNNNNNNNNNNNNNNNNNNNNNNNNNNNNNNNNNNNNNNNNNNNNNNNNNNNNNNNNNNNNNNNNNNNNNNNNNNNNNNNNNNNNNNNNNNNNNNNNNNNNNNNNNNNNNNNNNNNNNNNNNNNNNNNNNNNNNNNNNNNNNNNNNNNNNNNNNNNNNNNNNNNNNNNNNNNNNNNNNNNNNNNNNNNNNNNNNNNNNNNNNNNNNNNNNNNNNNNNNNNNNNNNNNNNNNNNNNNNNNNNNNNNNNNNNNNNNNNNNNNNNNNNNNNNNNNNNNNNNNNNNNNNNNNNNNNNNNNNNNNNNNNNNNNNNNNNNNNNNNNNNNNNNNNNNNNNNNNNNNNNNNNNNNNNNNNNNNNNNNNNNNNNNNNNNNNNNNNNNNNNNNNNNNNNNNNNNNNNNNNNNNNNNNNNNNNNNNNNNNNNNNNNNNNNNNNNNNNNNNNNNNNNNNNNNNNNNNNNNNNNNNNNNNNNNNNNNNNNNNNNNNNNNNNNNNNNNNNNNNNNNNNNNNNNNNNNNNNNNNNNNNNNNNNNNNNNNNNNNNNNNNNNNNNNNNNNNNNNNNNNNNNNNNNNNNNNNNNNNNNNNNNNNNNNNNNNNNNNNNNNNNNNNNCUUCAACUUCUCCUCUAUUUACAAAGCACUAGCCAAAGUAAAUUUUGAAAACGAUAUUAUAUAUAUAUAUAUAUAUAUAUAUAUAUAUAUAUAUCGUAAUCUGCAAGUUUGCGAUAACUUUAUAACUUCCGGUCGAAUCAUGUAUAUGUAUUAAUAUAACUUUACUUAUUAUAUGUGAAUAUUCGAUUAUUCUUUUAAAUUACUAGUCUCACUUAUAAUGGACAUUUAUAUGUAUAUCAAAUUAAAUGAUCUAAUAGUUUAAAAAUUCUGAAGCAAGUGUAUGGAGGUUUAGUUCUACUCGUAUUUAUUUCAAAGUUGAUGAUGAUAUUCUACGUAUUUUUGUGGUAUAUUACGUUGGCGAAAGAAGAAUCGAAGAAUUCAAUGAAUAGUCAAUUAGGUUAGUACUUAAUGAUUAAUAGAGUCUAGGAAUUAAUAAAAAUUAAGGAUUAAACAUUGGAUUUGGGAUUUUGGAUUAUUAAUGGUCAAUUAGAUUAAAUUUAGAGAUGUAUAGUAAACGUGAAAAAUACAAUCAACGAGCCAGGAUAUUCACUAAGAGGUUCAUAAGUGAACAUACGAACUAACCGAAGGAGGUUUAACAUAUAAUAUAUAUAUACAUAAAAGAUAAUUUUAAUCAUACAUAUAUAGCAUAAUUUUUCGCCGAAGGGAAUUUGGAUGAACCUUUGAGGGUAGCUCCGCCCCUGGUUGCCGGGACAAUCAACAUGAAAUGUUAUUUAUAGAACUUGAUUUUUGAACUCAGACAAAGAAAGUCAUUUUUUUAGAAAAAUAUAUUUUGAAAAAGUACUAGAAAAUCAGAAAAUAUUACAGCUUAUAAAUAACAAAUUUUGACAGGGAAAUAUGGUUGCUAAAGGUUCAACAUUUCCUUCUGGUAUUAAAGCACUAGCAGAUUAUGUUCAUGGCAAAGGAUUGAAACUCGGACUUUAUUCUGAUGCUGGGUAUAUUUUUAUACUAAAUAAUAGUAUCUUUUUUUUUUCCUAAAAAAAUUAUACUAGUAAUUAGAUAUAUUUAGUCAUAAUUUUGAUUUAAACAAGCCAUUUUUAUUUUUUAAUUUCUUGUAAUGCAGGACUCAGACAUGUAGUAAAACAAUGCCAGGUUCAUUAGGACACGAAUACCAAGAUGCAAAUACUUUUGCUUCCUGGGUAUGUUUGCUUGGCCUACAUGUACAUAUUUUAAGAUUAAAAAUAUAUAUUUAUACAUAAUGGUGGAGAUUUUAUUUGAGUUUAUUUUUGAGUUUAAUAGUCAAUAUUUAACUUGUGUUAUUUUUCUUAGGGUGUUGAUUACUUGAAGUAUGAUAAUUGUAACAACGAGAAUCGAAGUCCAAGAGAAAGGUACUACUUGCCCCUCCAAGUGCACUCGCUAUUUACAUCAAAUCAAUACACUUCAUUAUGAUUAAGUAUUCAAGAAAAAAAAAAACCUCAAAAAACAUAUAUUUUUGAAUAAAUUAAUUUAACGUAAACACCGAAUACGGAUAACUUUUUACUGUUUCUUCCUUUCUCAACAAGAAUAUACCUUUGUUUCUUCUUUUUAACAAUGUUUCCUUAAAUAAAACAGGUAUCCCACAAUGAGCAAAGCUUUACAGAACUCUGGAAGGGCUAUAUUUUAUUCUAUAUGUGAAUGGUGAGUGUACUUUUUGAAUGGCAUAUUUUAAAAAAAAAUCAUUUUUUUCAGUCGAUAUAUAUAUACACAAAUAAUAUAUUGAUUAUACACAUAUUAAUAUGUUAUUUUUCCCAAUUUCAGGGGAGGUGAUAAUCCUGCCACUUGGGCUUCUCCUGUUGGAAAUAGUUGGAGAACGACUGGAGAUAUUUCUGAUGAUUGGGGCAGGUAAAAUAUAGAUUUUUUUUUUUUAAAAAAAAAACAUACUUUUAUUUUCGUAAAUUCUUCUCUCAUUCUUGGUCGAAUUCGAUUAAAUACAUUUAACUCUCAAUUAAUUGAAAUUACGCUUUUGAUCUUUGCUUAUAGAUAUUCACAAAUGUAUCGUAGUUAUUAACUAGAUUUUAAAUAAUUCUACACGAAGCCUUAUAUGAUAGUGAACGAAGUAGUGAUGUUAGUGUGUUUCGCGUUGCAGCAUGACUUCGCGGGCAGAUAUGAAUGACCAAUGGGCAUCUUAUGCUGGUCCAGGUGGCUGGAAUGGUAUAAGUUUAAUUCACAAAAAUUUAUGCAUUUUAUUUCUCAUUAAUUAUUAUAAAACUAAAUUAAAUUUAUUAUGUAAGUUUAAUUUGCAGUGAUUUUACAUGGUGUUAAUUUGUUGUUUCAGAUCCAGACAUGUUAGAAGUUGGAAAUGGAGGAAUGAGCUUUGGAGAAUAUCGUUCUCAUUUCAGCAUUUGGGCAUUAGCAAAAGUCAGUUUUGAUUAUUAUUAUUAUGAAUUUAGUUUAAUUUAAUUUAAUAAAAUUCUAUUGGCAAAAAAUAGACUUUAAUUUGUUAUAUAUUAAAAUUAAUAUUUUUUUGUUUGUAGGCACCUUUGAUUAUAGGUUGUGAUUUACGAUCAAUGGAUCAGAGUGCUCAUGACAUUCUAAGCAACUCAGAGGUCAUUGCAGUUAAUCAAGGUAAACUAUUUUACUUUCUUUAAUUUCAGUUGCAUUUAUGUUUGACAACAAAAUUAGUCUAUGAAAACAUGAUCUGCAAUUGCCCUAAGUUUGAGCGUGUUAAUGACUUGUCCAUUUAAUAAUUCAGUCCAUUUUGAUCAAUCCAAUUCAUCUCAUCUAAAAGUCACUUCAGACAUAUGUUAUCUGAAGUUAGGCUUGACAAAAUGUUUAAAGUUACAUGUGAGUGAAGUUCAUGCAUUUCUACUUGAAAUUCAGGCAAAUAUGGUAGGACGUGAGUUGUGUACGACAAAAGUUUAAUAAUAUUUGUGCGACUUUAGAUAUUGUGUCUAAGGUCAUCCCAAAGUAGCUACACGUACAAAAAGAAUCUAAAAAAUGACCACAAAUUAAAUGAUGGCAUCAAAUUUGGAUAAUUGUGCACUUCAUCCACCAGUUUUACUAUUUCAAAUUCAGCUUAAUCCGCUCAUUUAUCACUCUUAAUUGCAUUCUAAUGAAUACUAAUGGUAGAAGACAAGAACAUAACAUGUUUAUAUUUGUUGAAAUUGGGAUCAGAUAAACUUGGAGUACAAGGUAGAAAAAUUAAGGAGUAUGGAGAUAAUUUGCAGGUAAUUAUUUUGAAAUGACUGACUCUCAAUCCCAAUUUUUAUUUUUAUUUUUAAAUUCCAAUGAAUUCAUUUUCUAAUACAAAAACUUGUAAAUAUUUAUACAUUGUUAUUGCAGGUAUGGGCAGGGCCUUUAAGUGGGAAUAGAAAAGCAGUAGUGCUAUGGAAUAGAGGAUCAUCAAAGGCUGAUAUAACUGCUCAAUGGUCUGAUAUUGGACUUGAUUCUUCUACUGUUGUUGAUGCACGAGACUUAUGGGCUGUAAGUCUUUCAUUUAAAAACUAUCUACGCGAACUCAAAAUUUGAAGUCAUGUCAAGCAUUACGCUGGAAAUAUAUUUAGCAAAAGUUAAAAGUUCAUGGCUUUUUUCACUCGAUAUUCAGUAUCGGGCGUUGGGGCAAGGGUUGGGUAUCAUGCAUUGUAACAUCUUUAAGGGGCUAUUAUGUUGAGUUUAUAUCUUUGAGGAGAGGAUUGUCCAAGACCAUAUAAAGAGACCAAGGACCCUUUAACCUACCGAUGUGGGACUCCAACAAUAAGUUUCACAAAAUGAUGCAUACAUAAAUAUUCUACGAAAUGUUUGGGACUUUGGGCCCGAUUAAUCCGAAUUUUUUAUAUGGAAAAGUCCCAUUUGGGGGUAAUGCGGUGACUCUACUUUCAGAGUCCGAACAAAAGAUCUCUUAUUAAAUUCUAAAGAAUAGAACAACACUUACCAGUCCACCAAAACAUUUAGCGAUAACAAUAUAUAUUGACUAGCUAUUUCCACAAAACAACAAUAAUCAUCUGUUAUAUAUGUUUCGAAGUUUAAUUUAAAUGACACUUUUUUUUUUAUCAUUUGGAUUGAAUUGCAGCACUCAACAAAAGGAUCAGUUAAAGGACAAAUAUCAGCCAGCGUUGAACCACAUGAUUGCAGCAUGUUUGUUCUUACUCCCAAAAAAUAAAUUCAACCCUAUUACUUUGCUGGGGAGAUGAAGAUGAUUUUCCAUGUCAAAUGUUAUAAUUUUUCUGAAAAUUAUACCACGUUGCUGGAGGAGUCAUACAUCAUUUAAUUAGGAAUAAGACGAAUAAAUUAAAGUAAUUUUGUUAGUAUUUAUAUUAUAGUUAAGACAGUUUCUUUGUAUUGUGUUAUUUUGUGUGGGACAAAUCUUGAUGUGAGCUAUACAUCAUAAUGCUUUAUGGUGCUAUCUUUUUUAUAUUUGGUCUUUGGAUAUAAUAACUAAAAAGACCUAAAUGAGAAUUUAAUCGUAUUAAAUAUGAAAAGAUUAUGACAUAAGUAGUAUUUUUUAUUAAGCUACCAAACUAUGAAAUGUCGUCUCACUUUCUCAUGUUCCUUUAAAUUAAUUGUUGAUGCAUAUGUUUUGAGAGACCAUUUUCGUUUUUUAUAUUCUUAUUAGUAGGAUAAUACUUAGUCGGGUCUAUUAAAAGUAAUCUUUUUGUUUCAUCUUUGGUGUAUAUCCUCUCAAAUUUAGACGUUAUCUUCUGCUACUUGGUAGAGGAUAUUUUAUAUAAUUCGAGAAUAAUUACAUUUUGAGCUUAUCAUCAUUCAAUCUUUAAGAACGUAAGGGAAAAAAAGAAAGGAGAGUUUAAGGACAUGACUUUAAAUCUGAAGUAAAAUGAAAAUGGCGUACAAGUUCAAUCGUUCGUUCGCUACAGAGUGUAAUUAUUGGGCGAAAAUUGUGGGAUGAUAGUGUAGCUAUGAUGAGAAAUGAGUAUAAGAAAUCACCAUAAAAUCCCUCAACAUUGGAAGGUAUCGACUGUCAAACUGUAAUAAUUAAAAGUAUUAGUAACUCUCCACUACCAAAUGAAAGUGUCAUCAUAUCUUUCACACUUGUAAUUUAAUUUUGGUCAACAAUCUUUAACAUGUUUUCCUUUAAUACAUCUAAACUCCGUAAAUUAUUCACUUUAAUCCGAUUCAGGUCCCACAAGUAUUUGCUCCAUUAGUUCAGCUUAAUUAGAAGUAUCAAAUAGGUAUUCGAUGUUCAAUAUCUACGUUAAAACCUGAUUAUAUUAAAAUUCAACUAUAUUAAACUGCUCCAAAAAAAAUCCCAUAUUAAAGAAUUAAGUAGUACUUUCUAAUAAGAAUGAUUCCAUAUCCAAGAUGUUCUUACCUCUGUGGAUACCUUUUUAUUUGAAUAUCUUAGAAUGUAAAUUUAUUUUUAGAGAAAAUGGUCAAAAGUUUUCUAACCUUUACUUCAAAUUCCAAUUACAUGCUCAUACUUUGCGGGGGUCAUAGGACCUCCCUGAACUAUUUUAAAGUGGAAUUAUUACCCUCAAAAUCUGACAACCAGUCAUUUUGGAUAAGGUGUGAUGCAUGCGCCAACAGUAUUUUGACAUGUAUUUUUUUUGUUUAAAAAUCAUUUUUUUUCUAUUUUUAUCACUUUUUAUCAUUUUUCAUCAUUUUUUCACCAUUAUUUUUUUCAGCAUUACUUUUCAUCUCUUUUCUUUUUGAAACUUUAUUAUUCCUACUUCUAUGCAAAUAAUUUUUCGACGACCUUAAAGUGAAAAAUAAUGAACUAUAUCAAAUUUGAAAUUUACAACGAUCUUGAAGUCGAAAAUAAUAAACAACAUCGAAUUUGAAAAUUUUCGACAACCUUGAAGUGGGAAAUACUGAUCAUAUUAAUUAUUAAGUUUCCGAUGAUCUUAAAUCUGGAAACAACGAAUGAUACCAAUUUCAAAUUUUUGAACGACCUUGAAGCCGGAAACAAUGAACAAUACGGAAUUUAAAAUUUUCGAUGACCUUAAAGUCGGAAACAAUAGAGAAUUUUAAAUUUUUCGACGACCUUGAAGUCGAAAAUAAUGGACAAUACCCAUUUUAAAAUUUACGAUGACCUUGAAGUAGGAAUACUGGGCAAUAUUGAUUUUGAAAAUAAUAAAUAACAUUGAAUUUAAAAUUUUCGACAAUCUUGAAGUGGGAAACAAUGAACAGUGUCAAUUUUAAAAUUUUCAACUAUCUUAAAUUCGAAAACAAUGAAGAAUACUAAUUUUAAAAUUUUCGAUGACCUUAAAGCUGGAAACAAUGAACAACACCGAAUUUAAAAUUUUCAAUAACCUUAAAGUCGGAAACAAUAGAGUAUUUUGAAAUUUUCAACGACCUUCAAGUCGGAAACAAUGGACAAUACCCAUUUUUAAAUUUACGAUGACUUUGAAGUCGUAAAUAAUGGAAAUAUCGAUUUUAAAAUUUCCUACAAUCUUAAAGUUAGAAACAAUGAACAAUACCCAUUUUAAAAUUUUCAAUGAAUUUGAAGUCGAAACUAAUAGAUUUUAUGCUUGGAGAUGAAGAAAAUGAUAAAUUAAUUUUGGAUGUCAUUGAUGAGUUCUUGGAUGCCGUUGUUUAUAAGAAAGAAGAAGAAGAAGAAAGAAAGAAAAUAAAUAAACAAAAAAAGAACAAUAAAAAUGAAUAAAGAAAAUAAAGAACAAUUAAAAAUGAAUAAAGAAAAUAAAGAAAUAUUAAAAAUAAUUUUUUAAUAAAAAAAAUUCGUUAAAGAGAGUGAAACACACUCUCUUACCAUGUCAGCGUUAAGGGGGAUAAUAAUUCCACUUUAAAAUAGUUCAAUGAAAUCAUAGGACCCCCACAAAGUAUAAGUGUGUAAUUAAAAUUUCGACUAAAGGUGGAAGGGGUAAUAGACCGUUUUCUCAAAUUUUUAAAAUAACAAGCUGUACUGUCAUUACCAAAACUAAAAAAUCAGGCAAACCACAGUUAGAACCGGAUCACUAGGGCUCAAAAGUUUAGCAUAGCCCAAGCCCAUCACUAAAGCCCAAAUAUCAAGCCCAACAAAAGAGCCCUUUUUCUACAGUCGCAGUGAAACCCUAAAAGCAAAGCAAAGCAAAGGUAGAUUAGUAAUAGUUCACAACCAACAAUGGCGGCAACUACACAGCAACCACGAACGCUGACGGCGAGAUAGGCAGACAUACAGAUGAUAUUAGCCGCUGAAGUUCACCUCGGCACUAAGAACUGUGAUUUCCAAAUGGAGCGUUACCUCUUCAAACGCCGCGCCGACGGUAAUCCUCACUUAAAUCGCUUAUAUUCGAAUUACUAAUAUCCUCAUUUACAGGAUUUUUUCUAGUAUUUGCGUGCUGGUAUCUGAAUAUAUGAUGGUAGAUUUGUCAGAAUAUCAUAUACCAGCGCAAUUUUCUUUUUGAGAGUCAAAUGAUAUCAACUUUGAUCGAUAUUUUAAGAUGCAUUAUUUUUGUUAUACUGAUCUGAUAAAAGAUUGUAAUUUGUAGCACUUUUGGUAUAGUUUUUAAAUAUCGAAUUAAUCUAAUUUAAUUUAGCUUUAUUAAAAUACAAAUAUCCUCAUUUACAACAAUUUCUAUAUUAUUUACGUGCCUGCAUUCGAAUAUAUGGUGGUAGAUUUGUAAGAAUAAGAUAUACUCUCUUUGUUACAAAAUACUUAUCACAGUUUCCUUUUUGAGAGUCGAGCAUUACGAAUGUUGGUUGACAUUUUAAGAUUAUUUUUUCAUUAUAUUGAUAUGAAAAAAUUGCAAUGUAGUUUUCGUAUAUUUGUUGUAAUAAUAAGACUACCAAUGUUGUAGGAGUGACAAACACUGAUAUUGAAUCUAAGAGUGAUGAUUGUGACAUCAAGAGAAAGAAAUAAAAGAAACAUGGAAAACAUUUUGAGAAGUUUAGUGAAGACUGCGAUGAGGUCCCGGGCCUGGGCCAAGGUGCACCUCUGCCCCGGCCUGGGCCCGGGCCUGGACUAUGGCAUUGUAAUAAGCCUUUAUGUGAGGAACUUGACUUAUGGGGUUGGAAUUCACUGCACUAUGCUGUUGAAUUAGGAUUGGAAGACGUAGUUUCUGAUAUGCUGGGGUUGAAAAAAUCCUUAGUGUACCUUCCGACAGGCAGUGAAAAUGACUGGACGACAGCAAUUCACAUUGCAGCCAGUGAAGGUGAUGUAAACAUGAUAAAUAAGCUGUUAAUCACUUCCCCGAUUGUUGGGAUAUGCGUAACAACAACAAUCAAAAUGCUCUUUAUGUUGCCGUACUGAACAAUCAAGACAAGGUAGUUACAUAAGAUGAAACACAGUAGGGGUGUUCAUGGUUUGGUUAUUAACCAAACUGAACCGCGAUCCAAACCAAACCGAUUAAAAAAAAUCGAUAUUUGGUUAGUUUUGGUUUGGUUUGGUUUUGAAUUUUAAAAAACCGAUAAUAAUUUGGUUUGGUUUGGUUUGGUUUUACUCUAAAAUAACCGACAAAAUAACCAAACCGAACUGAUAUAUAUAUAUAUAUAUAUUAUAAUUAUUUAUGUAUUAUUCAUAAAUACAAUAUAAGUAUUUAUUAAAUUUUAUAUUUUAAUCAUGAUUUAACUUUAGUCGUAACGCAUUAAGUCAUUUCUUCAUCUAGUUGAUAGUACCUUAUGAGAUUCUAAGUGAAUUUCGCACUUUGAAUGACAAAUGAUACUAAUUUUGAAAAUAAUAUCUUGUUGUAUAUUAAAAUUUAUAGCUGACAUUCAUUUGACUAUAGACAAUCAUUAAUUUUAACUUUUUUUUUGAACCUUGUUGAGCAAAAACUUUAUGUGCUCAGCACCUUUUGGAGGGUUUAUCAUAUCAUUCUGUUAAAUGUAGUUUUAAAAUAAUUUUUUAGAAGCAUUCAUAUGGUAUUGUUCAUAGCUUUGCUAAAGUAUAACACUCAGUCAGAGACAGAGCCAGGAUUUUAAGGAUUUCAAGUAAAGGGUUCAAUAUUCAAAGAAAACUAAGUCGGAAGGGGGUUCAACACCUACUAUAACCACAAAAAAAAUAAUUUUAAUCAUGUAUAAAUAGUAUAUUUUUCGGUCGAAGGGAGUUCGGACGAACCCCCUAAAGAUGGCUGGCUCCGCCUCUGCACUCAGUUGACAUCUUAGUUUCAAGGUUGAGAUACAACACCCGGUUAACUUCUCAUAUGUUAGAUUGGAUUCGUUUUUUUAAAUUUUCAACUUUUAUCAUUAGCUAAAGUUAUAAACCAAAGAAACCGAACCAAACCGAACUAAACCGACAGUUAUUUUUUUGUUUGGUUUGGUUUGGUUUUAGAAAUUUAAAAACCGACUAAGUUGGUUUGGUUAUGGUUUUGACCAAUAACCAACCCAUGAACACCUCUGGAUGAAAGCAAGAAGAUUUUACGUUCUAGUGCCGAAGGAUUUCUUAUUAGAACCCAAAGGGUGUGGCCUAGUGGUCAAUUAAGUGGGUUGAGAACGUGAGGCCUCAGGUUCAAAUCCGAGACAAAAAACACUAGUGAUUCUUUCCAUCUGUCCUAGCCGUCCUAACCUUGAUGGAUAAAGUUACAACAACAUACCCAUUGUAUUCCCACAAAGUGGGGCUUGGGGAGGAUAAAGUGUACGCAGUCCAUACCACUACCUCGGAUAAAGUAGAGAGGUUGUUUCUGAUAGACCCCCGACUUAGGACAGAUAACAGUAUAACCACAAAAAACAUAAAAAUAAACAAAUGAAAUGACACACCGCUAAAUAAUAAAAGAAAUAAGACACCAAUUGAGUAAUACUAUAAACUAUUCUAUUCGAGAUCACAAACAUCCUAAAAAAAACUACGAACAAGAAACUACGGGCAAGCUCUCCUCCCUAUUAUUGCGGAUGCACUCCUACCCACUAACCCUCUACCCUAAUUCACAUCCUCCGCACCUUCCUAGCAAGGGUCAUGUCGUCCGUAAGCUGUUGUCGCACUAUGUCAUGCCUAAUCACCUUCCUCUAAUAUUUCUUCGACCUACUCCUACCCCGCCUAAAAACAUCUGUAGUCGGCCUCUCACAUCUCCUAACUGGAGCAUCCAUGCCCAUACCAUCACAGCCUCACUUUCCGCAUCUUAUAUUACACCGCAGCCACUCACACAUACUCUCAAAUAACCUCAUUUCUCCUGGUAAGUCCACACAUCCAUCUCCACCACCUCCAACUUUUUGAUGUGGGAGUUCUUAACUAGCCAACACUCCAUUCCAUACAACAUAGUAAGUCGGACCAUCACUCUAUAUAACUUACCUUUAAGCUUAGGAGACACCUUCUUAUCACACAACUCAGAAAGCGACCCUCCACUUCAACCACCCUGCACCAAAAGUUGCAUGGUAUAUAUUGUCCUAGCCUGGGUGGUCCGAGCUACAUGGCAUCUGUUUCUGGUGGGAGAUGGCAAUCCAGUGUACUUAGUCGAGGUACGAGAAAGCUGGCUCACGCAUUAACGUUAUGAAAAGAAUUCCUUGUCAUCUAUCCAAAUCACUUAUCAAAAACUAUGAGAAUAAAGAAUUAGAAGUAAAUCGAAGAUGAACAAUCAGAAAAUACACACAAGCAAUAGAAUAGAAACUACUCAAUAUUUCAGCAUUGAGAUUAUACAAAACCAAUUCGCCACCCACCUGGGAUUUGUCGGAUGAAAUACAGAGAGAGAGAAAACUAACCACUCAAAGCUCGCGGAGAAAAUGGCAGCCGAGGAGGAAGGGUUUCAGUCGGCGGAGAGCUGCUGCAAAAAUGGAGAAAACGUUUGAGCUUGGGGGAAUUCAAGUCGACCAAAAAGACAGUACGGUCCCUUAAGUAUAGGCAUAUGAAUAUUUUGGCCCUGGUGUUUCAUAUUACACCUAUUGCACCUACUUGCCUUACAUACCGAGUUUGAAAUAAGAAAAGAUUUCGUGAUAUUCAUUAAAUUAUUUUUUAUUAAAAGUUACAUCACUACUAUUUAUAAUUAAGUGAGAUUUUAUAGUGAAAUCAAUAAAAAUAAAAGUGAAGUCGUGUCUUUAAAUAAUUAUCAAAAAAAAAUAUAUAUAUAAUAUUUUUUAAAAAACAAAACAAAGAAAUAGCACAAGAAAUAAAAGAAAAAGUCUCAAAUUGCAAAAUCUGAGUUAAUACAUAAAAAUAACCCUAAACUUUAUACCAAAUUAUAACUUUAACCUUAAACUUUGAUAGUGCACAAAUAGGACCUUUAACUAUUCAAAACUUGAACAAAUAUGACCUUUGAUUUUGCAAUCCCAUGCGUGAGUUUCACUCACAUCUACGUGGAAAGGUAAUUCAAUCACACGGUGCCACAUUGUUAAAAGGGCUGACUUGGAGGGAGAUCAUAUUUGUGCAGUUUUAAAUAUUUAAAGGUCAUAUUUGUGCACUAUCAAAGUUGGUUCAACAUUAAUAUACGUACAUAAAUAUAGAUUUUCUACCUUAUAUAUAUAUAUAUAUUAUAGUGUUAUUUGCUUUUCUUGGGUGCUUCCUUUAGCCUACUGCGCGGGUUUGAUUUUUUAAUUAAAAUAAAAGCUAGGUGUUGCAGCUAUAGAAAUAAAAAAUAAAAUAAUAAUAAUAAUAAUAAUAAAAACGACGCCUUUUUAACACAAAAAGCAAAACUUUGAGAAUGCAACUACAAUACUACAUCAACCUAACAAGAUUUUGUAAUUUACGUUUUCUACUUUGCAAUAAAUAUUAAAUAAUGUAAAUCAUUUUUUUAUAGUCUCAAUCUCAAAUCAAUUAUUGCCAACUCAAAGAAAAAAUAAAGUAAUUUUGUGAGGGCAAAUCGAUCACGUAACAUAAAUAUUCUUGUUUCUUAAAAAAAUAAAUAAAAACAACUAAUCUAAACAGAUCAAAUGAAUGCUUAAACAUUAAGGGAUUUAAUAUGAACUAAAUAAUGAAUCAUAAUUUAAUCUGUUCUAACUCUUAUCAAAUUUAAUCUUUAUAUAUAUAUAUAUAUAUAUAUUUUGAUAAUUAUUUAAAGACAUGACUUCAUUUUUAUUUUUAUUGAUUUCGCUAUAAAAUCUCAAUUAUAAAUAGUAGUGAUGUAACUUUUAAUAAAAAAUAAUUUGAUGAAUAUCACGAAGUCUUUUCUUAUUUCAAACUCGGUAUGUAAGUCAAGUAGGUGCAACAGGUGUAAUAUGAAACACCAGGGCCAAAAUAUUCAUAUGCCUAUACUUAAGGGACCGUACUGUCUUUUUGGUCGACUUGAAUUCCCCCAAGCUCAAGUGUUUUCUCCAUUUUUGCAGCAGCUCUCCGUCGACUGAAACCCUUCUUCCUCGGCUGCCAUUUUCUCCGUGAGCUUUGAGUGGUUAGUUUUCUCUCUCUCUGUAUUUUAUCCGACAAAUCCUAGGUGGGUGGCGAAUUGGUUUUGUAUAAUCUCAAUGCUGAAAUAUUGAGUAGUUUCUAUUCUAUGCUAUGCUUUGCUUGUGUGUAUUUUCUGAUUGUUCAUCUUCGAUUUACUUCUAAUUCUUUAUUCUCAUAGUUUUUGAUAAGUGAUUUGGAUUGAUGACGAGGAAUUCUUUUCAUAACGUUAAUGCGUGAGCCAGCUUUCUCGUACCUCGACUAAGUACACUGGAUUGCCAUCUCCUACCAGAAACAGAUGCCAUGUAGCUCGGACCACCCAGGCUAGGACAAUAUAUACCAUGCAACUUUUGGUGCAGGGUGGUUGAAGUGGAGGCUCGCUUUCUGAGUUGUGUGAUAAGAAGGUGUCUCCUAAGCUUAAAGGUAAGUUAUAUAGAGUGAUGGUCUGACUUACUAUGUUGUAUGGAAUGGAGUGUUGGCUAGUUAAAACUCCUACAUCAAAAAGUUGGAGGUGGUGGAGAUGGAUGUGUGGACUUACCAGGAGAAAUGAGGUUAUUUGAGAGUAUGUGUGAGUGGCUGCGGUGUAAUAUAAGAUGCGGAAAGUGAGGCUGUGAUGGUAUGGGCAUGGAUGCUCCAGUUAGGAGAUGUGAGAGGCCNNNNNNNNNNNNNNNNNNNNNNNNNNNNNNNNNNNNNNNNNNNNNNNNNNNNNNNNNNNNNNNNNNNNNNNNNNNNNNNNNNNNNNNNNNNNNNNNNNNNNNNNNGCGACUACAGCUUACGGACGACAUGACCCUUGAUAGGAAGGUGCGGAGGAUGUGAAUUAGGGUAGAGGGAUAGUGGGUAGGAGUGCAUCCGCCAUAAUAGGGAGGAGAGCUUGCCCGUAGUUUCUUGUUCGUAGUUUUUUUUAGGAUGUUUGUGAUCUCGAAUAGAUAGUUUAUAGUAUUACUCAAUCGGUGUCUUAUUUCUUUUAUUAUUUAGCGGUGUGUCAUUUCAUUUGUUUAUUUUUAUGUUUUUGUGGUUAUACUGUUAUCUGUCCUAAGUCGGGAGUCUAUCAGAAAUAACCUCUCUACUUUAUCUGAGGUAGUGGUAUGGAUUGCGUACACUUUAUCCUCCCCAAGCCCCACUUUGUGGGAAUACAAUGGGUAUGUUGUUGUAACUUUAUCCAUCAAGGUUAGGACGGCUAGGACAGAUGGAAAGAAUCACUAGUGUUUUUUGUCUCUGAUUUGAACCUGAGGCCUCACGUUCUCAACUCACUUCAUUGACCACUAGGCCACACCCUUUGGGUUCUAAUAAGAAAUCCAUCUGCACUAGAAUGUAAAAUAUUCUUGCUUUCAUCUAGGGGUGUUCAUGGGUUGGUUAUUGGUCAAAACCAUAAUCAAACCAACUUAGUCGGUUUUUAAAUUUCUAAAACCAAACCAAACCAAACAAAAAAAUAACCGUCGGUUUUGUUCUUGUCGGUUUGGUUCGGUUUCUUUGGUUUAUAACUUUAGCUAAUGAUAAAAGUUGAAAAUUAAAAAAAACGAAUCCAAUCUAACAUAUGAGAAGUUAACCGGGUGUUGUAUCUCAACCUUGAAACUAAGAUGUCAAUUGAGUGCAGAGGCGGAGCUGACCAUCUUCGUCCGAACUCUCUUCGAUCGAAAAAUAUAUUAUUUAUACAUGAUUAAAAUUAUUUUUUAUGUGGUUAUAGUAGGUGUUGAACCCCCUUCGACUUAGUUUUCUUUGAAUAUUGAACCCUUUACUUGAAAUCCUGUCUCUGUCUCUGACUGAGUGUUAUACUUUAGCAAAGCUAUGAACAAUACCAUAUGAAUGCUUCUAAAAAAUUAUUUUAAAACUACAUUUAACAGAAUGAUAUGAUAAACCCCCAAAAGGUGAGAACAUAAAGUUUUUGCUUAACAAGGUUCAAAAAGAAAGUUAAAAUUAAUGAUUGUCUAUAGUCAAAUGAAUGUCAGCUAUAAAUUUUGAUAUACAACAAGAUAUUAUUUUCACAAUUAGUAUCAUUUGUCAUUCAAAGUGCGAAAUUCACUUAGAAUCUAAUAAGGUACUAUCAACUAGAUGAAGAAAUGACUUAAUGCGUUACGACUAAAGUUAAAUCAUGAUUAAAAUAUAAAAUUUAAUAAAUACUUAUAUUGUAUUUAUGAAUAAUUAUAAUAUAUAUAUAUAUAUAUCAGUUCGGUUUGGUCAUUUUGUCGGUUAUUUUAGAGUAAAACCAAACCAAAUUAUUAUCGGUUUUUUAAAAUUCAAAACCAAACCAAACCAAAACUAACCAAAUAUCGAUUUUUUUUAAUCGGUUUGGUUUGGAUCGCGGUUCAGUUUGGUUAGUAACCAAACCAUGAACACCCCUUCAGUUUGGUUAGUAACCAAACCAUGAACACCCCUACUGUGUUUCAUCUUAUGUAACUACUCCCUCUGGCCCAAUUUAUAUGGCCUCGUGAAUUUAUUUUCUUUCUUUUACCAUAAAUCUAAGGUUCUAUAUAAUUGUCAUGGUCGAUAAAAUCUCUUCGUUCUAUAUAGUUUAUUACUUUUGGUGAAAUGUCUAAAUUUAACACCUCCCGUACGAAAUAUCUUAAUUUUACCCUUGGAGCUCUGCUAGCGUUAAAGCAAAUAUGAGACGAUUUGCUAACUGCAAUGUAUGAAUGACCUCAAGUAUAAUUACAUGGAAUAGAAUUAAAAUAUUUCGUAUAAUAGAGGAAUAUUUUUUAUCCUUCCCCCCCUUAAGGUUUAACUGUUGAAGUCUUCAUAUUCUAAAAAAAGGUUAUGAUUCUUGGUUUCAGAAAAUAGAGGAAUUGGGAGACAACCACUAAACUAGACUUCAAGAAUAUCCAUCAUAAAGGAUGUAGCAAAGGGUCUAAAUUUCUUGCACCAGUCCUUACCAGCACAAAAAGUUCUACAUGGAAACAUCAGAUCAGAAAAUGUCCUAAUCUUGCAAGACCCCCAAAGCAAGAACUACCAUUCCAAGUUGACAGAUUAUGGAUUCUUGUCUUUGUUGCCAUCUAAAGAAUCCAAAAUAUUAGUAACUGAAGUGAAAUCUAUAAUCUUGUACUAGCAAAUUGUUCUGGUCUUCAAAUUACGUCUUCUGAUUCUGAUUUCUGCACAACAUUACACUUACUCAUAGCUGUUCUAGGAAGUUUAGCAAAAUAGAUAUUGGAAAGUAUAAAACCAGUGUAGCUUAAGUAAAGUGUGCUAUGCCGUGGUAUUAACAAUCUGUCAUGGUCUUUGGACUGCUUGUCUUCCCAACUUGAUUUCUUGUGUAGUACUGCACCUGCGUGUAUAAUUCGACCAUUUUGAUUCUGAAGACUACAUAAUCUGAAGUACAGAUGUUUAGGUCUUUUGACACUUUGAUGUAAACUUGAAACUGUGUAUGAGAACAAGAUGAUAUGCUUAGUUUAUUUACAACAUUGAUUUUGUUAAGGGGCUCCUGCUUCUUUUGAGACACCCAACACUAACGUGAAUCAUAGCCUUAUAUUUUUCAAAAUAACCUAAACUGGAAAUUCUGAAUUUUGAACUUCAACUAUUAUCCUUGCAAUGCACCAUGUUUAAUGUCAAUAAUCUUUGAGUAGCUAAUUCUCAAGAGAAAAUAGUUUACUGAUUCCUUGCUUUGUUUUGUGGUGAAUCAGAUAAUCAGAAACAAAGUAAAGAAAAUAAUAGCAGAUUACUUUGCCGUAUCAAAAUAAUAGUAACAAUAAUAAAAAAAAAUAGAAGUGGAUUACACAUCAAUUAUAGUUUGUCAAUGCUUUCAGGCUCUCAAUAGGGGAUUGCAGUAUACUUGGUAUCGUAAUUGUGCUUUUCUUUUUCUUCUGUUUUGGCAGAGAAACCACUUUUGGUGCCUUGCAGGAAGACAUAAUUGAUAAAUCCUAAAGAGACAUGGACCAAGGAGAUGAGAAGGAGGAUAUGCUCCGGAAGCUGGAGAAGAAGUCCAAGAAAAGUAAUAAGAAUGCUGCCACCAGCGGUCUUGGAGGAGAGAGUGAUGGGUGUGAAGUUAAGAAAAAGAAAAAAAGAAAAGGUGGAGAACAUCCUGGAAAGUGCAACAAAGACAAUGAUGAAGAUGUUGUGAAGUAUGUUGAACGAAAGAAAAAUAAUAAGCUAAAGAAAAGCUGCUUGAAUGAACCACCUUUAGACUUCAAAAUUAGUGCUCCUGCAAGUGCAAGUGAAAUGCGGGACAGUGAAAAAGUGGUUGAGACCCUUGGUGAAAUCUCUAGUGGAGACGUUGUGGACGAGAUUAGGAGGAAGAAGAAAUCCAAGAAAAACGUCAAGACUACCAAUGUUGUAGGAGUGGCAAACACUGAUAUUGAAGCUAAGACUGAUGAUUGUGACCUCAAGAGAAAGAAAGAAAAGAAACAUGGAAAACAUUCUGAGAAGUUUAAUGAAGACAGCGAUGAGGUUGCUUUGAGAAUUGUUGAAGGAAAGAAGAGUAGGAAGUUGAAGAAAAGCCGCGUGGCUGAGCAGGAGAAAAUGCAUGAUACUGAGGAUGUACAGGAAGAUAUUGUUGCUGAAGUCGACGAAGGUGAUAUUUCUUCGCCUAUCAAGAUUGAAGAAAAAAACAGAACAGACAAUGGGAAUAUUAAAAAGAGGAAAAAGGUAAAAUCCGGACACAGCUCUGAAGAUCCUACGCAUGAGAUUGAAGAAAAAAACAGAACAGACAAUGGGAAUAUUAAAAAGAGGAAAAAGGUAAAAUCCGGACACAGCUCUGAAGAUCCUACGCAUGAGAUUGAAGAAGAAAACAGAACAGACAAUGGCAAUAUCAAAAAGAAGAAAAAGGUAAAAUCAGGACACAGCUCCGAAGAUCCUAAGCAUGAGAUUGAAGAAGAAAACAGAACAGACAAUGGCAAUAUCAAAAAGAAGAAAAAGGUAAAAUCCGGACACAGCUCUGAAGAUCCUACGCAUGAGAAGAGUGCAAAGAAAGUGAGAUUUUCUGGUCAUGUUCAGAUUUUCCCUUCUUCUGAUGAUCCAAGUGAUGAGAAGCACGAGAUAGAGGAUGAAAAUUUACUGCGUGGCAAGCGAUUCUCAAAGCUAGAAGAUGAAAUUGUCAAAGAGGCUGUUCAUAAAUAUGUAGAUUUACAUAACUUGGGCGAAGAAGGGCUGAAAAAGAUUUUAAAUUCUAGAUCUUAUCCUGAAAUAAAGGGUUG